AGCGAACGCUGGCGGCAGGCCUAACACAUGCAAGUCGAACGAAGUCUUCGGACUUAGUGGCGGACGGGUGAGUAACACAUGGGAACGUGCCUUUAGGUUCGGAAUAACUCAGGGAAACUUGUGCUAAUACCGAAUGUGCCCUUCGGGGGAAAGAUUUAUCGCCUUUAGAGCGGCCCGCGUCUGAUUAGCUAGUUGGUGAGGUAAAGGCUCACCAAGGCGACGAUCAGUAGCUGGUCUGAGAGGAUGAUCAGCCACAUUGCGACUGAGACACGGACCAAACUUUUUUAAAGGCAGCAGUGAGUAAUAUUGGACAAUGGGCGAAAGCCUGAUCCAGCAAUACCAAGUGAGUGAAGAAGGCUAAUAGGUUGUAAAGCUCUUUCAUUAGGGAAGAAAAAAGACAGUACCUAAAAAAGAAGUUCCGGCUAAUUUCGUGCCAGCCGCCGCCGUAAAAC
rnacentral:rRNA from 1 species